CCUUUGAAAAUGGCCAUGCCCGUUUUUCCUCCACAAAAUUUAGCAUCAGUUUGGAGCGUUAUUUAACCUCACCGCGACUAACUUUAAAACUGAACCCGGUACAACCUUCGGUAGAUCGAUAUUGCAUAAUGAUAUUUUUCGUUAACGGAUUAUUAUCAAGUUAA